rnacentral:tRNA from 1 species
GAGGAUUUAGCUUAGUGGUAGAGUGUGUGUUUAGUAUGCACAGGCCCUGGAAUCAAUCCUCA